rnacentral:rRNA from 1 species
UACGUAGGGCGCAAGCGUUGUCCGGAAUUAUUGGGCGUAAAGAGCUCGUAGGCGGUUUGUCGCGUCUGCUGUGAAAACCUGAGGCUCAACCUCGGGCUUGCAGUGGGUACGGGCAGACUAGAGUGCGGUAGGGGUGACUGGAAUUCCUGGUGUAGCGGUGGAAUGCGCAGAUAUCAGGAGGAACACCGAUGGCGAAGGCAGGUCACUGGGCCGCAACUGACGCUGAGGAGCGAAAGCAUGGGUAGCGAACAGG